AGGUGAUGCCAGCAGACCAGACUAGGUGGAGGCCCUGGGACACUCCAUGGUGCACAGGCAGCAAGGGAAGUCCUGGUGCCCGGGCCAGAUGGCAUUCUGCUGGAUGUCUGGUCGUGGUUCCAGCUGGCUCAAGGUCCCAUUUGCUCCUCAUGCCACAGAUUCCUCUACCUGUCUUCUGAUGUUCUGUGUUUUUUUUUUCUUUUUUUAUUUCUCCAUAUUUUGGAUGCUCUCAAAGCAGCCUCAUGAAACUAUUUUGCCAGAAGCUAUGUAAGGUGACCCCACUUGUAGAAAUGCCAGAAGUAAGUUAAAAGUGCCUUUUGAGAACCUGUUGAAAUCCCUCCAGCAAAAUGCAAAUGAGCACAGAAACCUGCAAGUACUGUACCUAGGCCCAUGGACCUAGUGGAGCUGAUGGAUCAUAGGUUAAGAACUCCAAAUUUAUCGUGUUUUAUUACUUAGUAGCUUUUAUAACUCCUUUUGAAUUAUGAAAUCAUUCUAGGCUCUGUCUACACAUAAAAAUUGGCAUAUUUGAACUUGAUCUUUUUGCCAUAGAGGACUGCCACCAUUUUACUCCCCUAAAUACAUAAUUUAUUCCUGACAUCUAAAAUACACAUCUAGUAUUAUGCACAGUAUUGUGUUAUAUAUUAUUAUAACUUGCCAAUAUAAUUUGAAGGGAACCUAUACUUAGCUUCACAACUAAAUCAAUCUUAAUAAGUAUUUGUCUAAGUAAUAUUAACUAAGUAG
rnacentral:lncRNA from 10 species